rnacentral:rRNA from 1 species
GACGAACGCUGGCGGCGUGCUUAACACAUGCAAGUCGAACGGAAAGGCCCUGCUUUUGUGGGGUGCUCGAGUGGCGAACGGGUGAGUAACACGUGAGUAACCUGCCCUUGACUUUGGGAUAACUUCUGGAAACUGGGGCUAAUACCGGAUAGGAGCUCCUGCUGCAUGGUGGGGGUUGGAAAGUUUCGGCGGUUGGGGAUGGACUCGCGGCUUAUCAGCUUGUUGGUGGGGUAGUGGCUUACCCAGGCUUUGACGGGUAGCCGGCCUGAGAGGGUGACCGGCCACAUUGGGACUGAGAUACGGCGCAGACUCCUACGGGAGGCAGCAGUGGGGAAUAUUGCACAGUGGGCGGAAGCCUGAUGCAGCAGCGCCGCGUGCGGGAUGACGGCCUACGGGUUGUAAACCGCUUUCGCCUGUGACGAAGCGUGAGUGACGGUAAUGGGUAAAGAAGCACCGGCUAACUACGUG